UACGUAGGGUGCGAGCGUUAAUCGGAAUUACUGGGCGUAAAGCGUGCGCAGGCGGUUUUGUAAGCCAGAUGUGAAAUCCCCGGGCUUAACCUGGGAAUGGCAUUUGGGACUGCAAGGCUUGAGUGCGGCAGAGGAGACUGGAAUUCCUGGUGUAGCAGUGAAAUGCGUAGAUAUCGGGAGGAACACCGAUGGCGAAGGCAGGUCUCUGGGCUGACACUGACGCUCAUGCACGAAAGCGUGGGGAGCAAACAGG
rnacentral:rRNA from 1 species